GGGAUGUUUGCCCGGAAACCGGGAAAGGGAAUAACACUCAAAAUGUAAAUAAGAAAUACUCAAGUUAAUUUAAAAAAAAGAAGAAGAAGAAAAUGAACAGAAAACCCACAAACCUGAUCUUUCAGCAUCCAUUGUUGGCCAAGGCCUGCUGUGGGUCCUGGUUACCUGCUCUCCGUCUUCUGAUGGCCUGGGUGCCAGAAACAAUGCAUAACUGCAAACCCUGAGUGACAGCAUUGAUCCCAUGCCUAGGUCUCCUCUCCAUCUGGCUUCUGCCAUGGCGCAUCGGCCAACUUGAAUUGUUCCAGUUAGACUCCUUGUCUGUCCCUUAUUGGGACACAACUGUUACUAGGAAAACCUAAAGCAAGGCAGUGAUGCUGAGACAAAAGUGUGGAGAGGUGACCAGAGUUUGUUGAAACCACAAUGAGUGUGCACUAGAGGGAAGUUGAGAUGAAGACAGAGAGACAGAGAAAGACAGAGAAAGAGAGAGGAUUAAGAUGGAGAGAGAGAGAGAGAGAGAGAGAAAGACAGAGACACACACACACACACAUAUAUAUAUAUAUAUAUAUAUAUAUAUAUAUAUAUAUAUAUAUAUAUAUAGAGAGAGAGAGAGAGAGAGAGAGAGAGAGAGAGAGGGAGGGAGAAAACAAAGGCCAACUAACUUCAAGAUGCCUAGGACUUGAGCUAAGGUCGUGUCACCAGACAAGCAGGGCGGUUCACAGCUCACACAUCCUUGGGCUAGGUGUCAUAUCAGGAGAACUGCAGCAAGCAUAAACAGAAAACCGAAAUACUGUGGCAGGUGUGGAAUUACAUAACUUGUGAGACACACACAGCCAAUUCCCUACUUUUUAAAGUAAAUAAAAGUUUCUUGCAGUGUGGUUUUAUGUGAUGAUUACAGGUGUGCUUACACUGUAAAGGCAUGGGUAGUGAUGAGAGAGCCCACGUGUGCAAAUCCUGCAAAUCCUGAAAUAUUUAUAGCCUAGCUCUGGAGAAGAAGUUUGAGGACUCCUGGCUCGUGGGCAGCAAGUGAUCAAGAAGUCUGGAAACAAGAACCUGGAAAGACUGUUUUCAGAAGGCUGUGUGGCUACCGAAAUCACCAGGAUUCUGGCCCCUGUGGCCCUGGCUGUUGACCAUAUCAAAAUAGGCAAUGGCAAGGCCUGGGAGAUGAGCUAACCCUUAUAGUUUCUAGGCUGGUAUGGAUGCCCUCACAAACAUUCUGAAUGAAUCUAGGUGUGUGUGUGUGUGUGUGCGUGUGUGUGUGUGUGUGCGUGCGUGUGACUUCAGGUGAUGAAGAGAUGACUGAGGAGAUGGCUGGGGAAACCCCUUUUCUUUCUCUUCUGUUGGUCGCUUCCUCCUGCAGGUCCUCUUCCUGUGCUGAUCAUAAUGGGCUGUAGCUUUCAUGUUGUGCCCCGUUUAUCCCUUUCCCAACUUGAUUAUGGAUCCAUUCUUGGGGAGGGUUCUGAGUUGGCCUUGAGUGGGGGUGUAAGACCUGAGGAUGGGGCUCAUCUUCAGUGAGAGACGGGUUACAGGAUAGGAAGCUGCUGCUGACCUGUGUGCCCAGUGAGCGGUGGUUGCUUCUCCAAUUGGUGUGGAGUUAUGAACUGUAUGGAUCUUGGUUGGCUGCUGGAGGGUCUUAGGUGAAUAAGAUGAGAACCAGCCUUGGAGGAAGUGGGAGAUGCCUGGGGUUUAGGAGGAAUCCAGCUUCUCAGGGAAGGAGCCUGUGAGCCUCAUCUGGCAUCCUCCUGGGCAGGCAGGGAGGUUGGGAGUCUGCCUGGUGGCAUCUUGCUUCCAGGUAGCACCUGUUUAUAAUGCAUGAGCUCUUGGUGGGCUUUCUGCCCAAACCAGAGUGUAAUGGUCUACAGAGGAGGAAAGGCCAAUACCCUCUCGCUUAUUUCUGUUACCUGGCUGUGGUACUUCCUGCUAGACACUGCAGGCAGGGCCUGUCAGAAAUCUGCUUGGUCAUUAUUCUUCCUGCUCAACUUUGAUGAGCUCUGCUUAGCAAGGCCUGACUGGAUGGAUAUAUGCCAUGCCAAGCUGCUCAUCUCACCCACUUUUCCUGGUUCUCUUGAAGUUCUAUGAGUGCUGCAAAGUGCCUGGUCACCAGACACCCCAGCCCAUCUCCCCAAGUUUCCCUCCCCACAAUGCACGAGGACCUGUGUCUCCAGGUGUGCAGCAUGCUUUUGUUUCUUCACCUUUCAGCUGUCAAGAUGUCUGAUCCCUUCUAUGUGGCAAGAUCUCACUUAUUGUUUAAGACUCUUUCCAAGAGAUAAUUAUAGGCAAGAAAGACGACCCUGUCUACAUCCCCAGGGCAUUGUCUUUAAAGCUCUUAUCUUGAUUCCAGUCAUGAGAGCUCAGGCUUUGCUUCUCUAUAGCCACUCCUUACACAAAAGGGUAUGUAAGAAAGGGGUGUGUGAGUGAGAGGAAGUAAGGGGCAGCGAACACCAACACACAAAAGGUGGUGUUCAAGACUGCCUUUGUUCACCAAAGCUUCAUAGUUACAGAUAGGGCAUUUGUAGUAACCUGACUAGCUCAGAUGCCUUAAGUUUUCUUCUGUUAUGAGACAAUGGUGUUUGGGAGAUGAAAUGCUAAGUCUGUAAGCUAGAAUUGUACAUAGGACAGUAGUGGGAGCAAAUCUAACUUGUUAAGUGGGACUGCUGUGAUUAAGUCCUGUUGGUGCUGUAAGGAGAGCAAUGUGGUUUCUUGCAAGGCUGAGCUUAUUUAGUCCUGACCAGAGUGAGUCAUCCAGACGGAUGGGAGGUCAGGAGCUUUGCGUACAAUGUCUUAUCUCAUCCCCAGGACCUCAGUCAGGGAAAGCCUGUGUAUUAGAGAGGAUCCCUGGCUGAAAGGAAGCAAUUUGCCAGGAUCACGUGACUACAAAGUGACAAGGGCAGUCAGAGCUGUGCAAACCUCCUCUCUAUUGGGCUGAAGGCUUUGCCUUUUUCCACUAGGGUACCUUUGAUGAGUAAGAAUGACACACCUCUCUCCUUCUUUCCUCCUCAGCUUGUUUAAGUCAGAGGACUGGCAGCAUUGAGAGCUGGAUGGGGCACUUCUAGAACUGGAAAUUAUGCCACUUCCUGUCUAACAGGGAACAAAGCGUUUCCAUUGAAGAGUCUUGAAAGCUGGGCUUGUCAUACUAAACAGAAUGAAGCUAAUGCUUAGUAAGCUGUGGUUGGCAGGUCACAUGGUGUGUGUGUGUGUGUGUGUGUGUGUGUGUGUGUGUGUGUGUGUAUACGUAUGUGUGUACAAGCCUACACAGAUACCUAGAACACACUCCAGGCCUAUUCUGGGUUCUCCCAGAAUAGGAGAUUGGGAUUGAUAACGUUUGGUCCCAAGCCUCAUCCUUCUCCAUUUGCGUGCUCCCUGUGUGAGUGUCCCCAGUACUGUGUACACCUUCAUCCCUUCUCCGCAGGGUAUUGGCUUUGGCUGUUUCUGUCUAUGACUAGCCACUGUCCACUCUGAUGAGCAGUUCAUUAAAAGUGAUGGCUUUCAAACUUGCUUUCUUUUUUUGUUUGUUUUUUUAUUUAAUUUAUUCUUCUUUCCCAUAUAAUAGAUCUUGAUAUUCUUUCUCCUCCCCCAACUCCUCCCACCCAGCUUCAUUAUUUCUCUUUAAAACAAAACAAAAGCAAAGAUGAAAAAUCAAACAAAAGACCAAUAAGACAAAAGGAUGCCAAACUAAAAUAAAAUAAAACAAAACUCAGAAUCCAUUUUGUGUUUCAUUAAGCCACUUUAUUUUUUUCCCCAUCUUUAUUAACUUGGGUAUUUCUUAUUUACAUUUCAAAUGUUAUUACCUUUCCCGGUUUCCAGGUCAACAUCCCCCUAACCCCUCCACCUCCCCUUCUAUAUGGGUGUUCCCCUCCCCAUCCUCCCCCCAUAACUGCCCUCCCCCCAACAAUCCCGUUCACUGGGGGUUCAGUCUUGGCAGGACCAAGGGCUUCCCCUUCCACUGGUGCUCUUACUAGGCUAUUCAUUGCUACCUAUGCAGUUGAAGCCCAGGGUCAGUCCAUGUAGUGUUACUACCCAUGCAGGGUCAGUCUUUGGGUAGUGUUAUUAAGCCACUUUAAAUACAUUGACUGUCCCAUCAUAUUUUAGGCAUUUGGAGGAUAAAACCCCGGUCUCCCUCCAGAGCAGAAGCCUUUGCUGUGCCGUGAUGGAUGACUCCUUAUCUAGCCUUCUAAAUGUGUAGCACCUCCCAACAAGCUUGAUGUGAUCAGACUUGUGUAGUAUGAGCCAGUGGCUGCCAUCCACAUGCGUCUAACCUGUGUAAUGUGAGCUCGUCCACAUGCGUCUAACCUUUCUCUGCACGGAAGCCUCACACCAUGCUCAUAUUAUGGCUUCCGGGGCAGGGGAGGGGCACCUUUGACACUUGGAUGAAAGCUUGGGUCUGUCAGCAGGGCCAGCACCACCUUGCUUUAGAAGGAUGACAAUGAGGAAAUUCACCCCUUUGGGGAGAGCUGUGGGAAGCUAUGAGCCAGAUCUUUCCAUGUCCCUUCGGUAUGCAGGAGGUGGGGCUGGAGGAUCUGUGAGCUCUUCCAGUGAGGUGAGUUGGUGCUCUCCUAGGCUUGAAAGCCACCUGGGGUGGAAGGAGGUGCAACAGGAAGCAGAAGGAGACAUGAGUGGGCCACAGCAAACCACCACAGGCAGGAGUGAGUCCUGGGGCCACAGCAAACCAUCACAGGCAGGAGCGAGUCCUGGGACCACAGCAUCUUGUCACAGGCAGGAGUGAGUCCUGGGGCCACAGCAUCCUGUCACAGAGCCAGGAGUGAGUCCUGGCGCCACAGCAUCCUGUCACAGGCAGGAGCGAGGCUAUUCACUACUGGCUCACUUUUACUAUUUUCUCAUUCAUAAACUUGAGGUCAAGGUAUCAAAUGAGAUACGUGUAUGAACCAUUAUGGAAUGUGUUAAUAUAUGUAAGGCAUGUAAAGUAGUGUCUAAAUUUCAUGAGAGCAUUGUAGUAAAACCUUAGCCAUGUUUAUGCAAAUGAUAUUGUCAUUGUUAACAGUGUUACAAAACAUCGAGAUCAAAGGAGGCAUCUGCUUUUUUUGUAUCCAUUGGCUUUUCCAGUCCCUUAUUGGAGACCUGAAUCAUCCCCUCCCCUUGCUCCUCCUCCUCCUCCUCCUCUUCCUCCUCCUCCUCCUCCCCCUCCUACUCCUCCUCCUUCUCCCCCUCCUCCCCUCCUCCCCCUCCUCUUCCUCUUCCUCCUCCUCUUCUUCCUCCUCCUCCUCUGAAAAUUAUAAUAAACUGUAAACAUGAUACAGCAUGAAGAACAGCUUCACUCAGACUUUACUCAGAUUUACCCCUAGGAACAUUUCACUCAAUGCCCUUACCUGCUGGUUCAUUUGACUGACCCAAUAGUGACAUCUUUGAAGGGUAUGUGAUUUCCCUUAUUCCUAACUUGUUGUCAUAAAACAUUAUUAUUUUGUAUUGUUUUUAGACAGAAUGUCUCUAGUCAUCCUGAGCUGGCUUCAGACUUGAGUCCUCAUGCCUCAGAAUCUGGGGCGUUGUAAUUACAGGCAUAUGAUACCAUGUCUGGUGGUCCCUCUAAUUUUUAAAUAGGUAUUUGGUCUUUGUGAGAGGUUCCAACUGUGCUCUUGGUCACUGCACGCUGUAGUCUGGGGUCUUUUUUGGGCAGGGAUGUCAUUUCCCGAUCAGACAUAAUGAUGAAUCUACAGCUGCUUUUGGUCCUUCUCUGACCUGACACCAGAGAAGUCAGGGAAGCCGAGUGGAACAAAGCUACAACCAUCAGGAAAUCUUGAAUCCUGGCUUGUGUAAACCGUAGAACAGCACAAGCGGAAACAGAUGAGAAAUCAGGUCACCAAAACCAAUCUGAUCAAUGCCAUCCCAGGGUUAAAACCAGCAGCGAAUUUCUGAUUUUAAACAAUGACAUUCACAGGCAAUAAAAUAGAUGGGGCUGGCAUCUACAUAUUCCAGCUCAGAAUUUCUAUCUUUAUGUGCAUUUUUAAAUGAGAGAACAAGAUUGGAGGGGCAGAGAAUUUUGAGUAAGGCCCCAUAGUAAUCACCAGAGCUGGAGUCAGAGCCCAAGCCUGUCUGAAUACCUGGGGUGAGGGUGGGGGCACAAUUCUUCAUAUAGAAAAUUCAACUGUUAGUUUGAGGUAAAGGGCCUGUAUCUACAUCAGUGAAGUCCUGGAUACACACCAACUGUCCAGAGUUACUAAUCCCUUGCCUCUUUUAACCCCCACUCCUGCGAGCCACUGUGAAAUGCCUUGGGGUCAGAGACUUGUUCCUCUCAGAAGAACUGUUUAAACUAACUUCAAGGUCUGCAUUGUGCUCUCAUGAGACCUUUCCGGUUGUCAGACUAUAUUUGCUUAUCCCAGCUCAAGAACUUGUCCUUGGGCAACCGUACUAUAUGGAAGAAGGUUCCAGAAAGAGGAUGCCAUGGGUGAAAAUGCAGGGGUGGAACUAGAUGAUUGGCCUCUGUGCUGAAGAUCAUAUAGCUUACUUCUUGGAUUGUGGAAGUCAAGAGGACCUGUUCCAAACCCUAGAUGUACAAAAUCCCAGAAUUUUCCUCUGGGCAUGAGAGAGGCCUCUGUGGUCCAGAGAAUAUUGGAGUGUGUGGUUUGUAUGUAUACAAAGACUAGUUUGUUUCUCUGUCUGCAAAGGUGAAGCAUCAUUUUAAUUAUUAUUUAUUUAGCACUACUCUGAGGUCCCAGCACUGCCAUUUCAUCAAGAUAACAACCAUAACAACAAUAUACAAAUACCAGCAAUAAUAAUUUAUUCGCUCAUUUCAUUGGAGUGCUAUGGGGGUAAAUGAUAGAUUAUGGCUCCCAAAGUGCUGUGGCAUUUGGAAAGAACUAUCAUUGUACGUUCACGUUGCUAAGUAUCUGCUGUAAAUACUACUAACCAGACACUGGGGCUGGGUCAUCAUGAGAGCUUCACCCUGUAAUGAUGGAAAGAGAAGCAGACUCAGCCUUCUUAGCAUUUUCUUCCUCUCUUUGGAAGAGAUAACUAACUGGUGGUGUGGAUUGGCCAUGUGCAAGGUGACUUCACACACUGUCUUCUGCAAUGAAAAUAAACCUCGUUAUUAUAUAUAGUCGUUGUUACUAUUAUUGCUCCUUUGAAAUGAGAUACGUUAGGGCAAACUUCAGACACGUCUAUUUAAAUAUGACAGGUAGGCAUCCCUGAGAAGUCAAAUUUUCUGAGUAACUACCAUACAGUCCUUCAAAUAAAACAAUAAACAACACUGGUAUGUUUCCGUCUGUUGUGCGAUACCAUUCUUGGGGAGACAUGAACAAAUGUCUACUUACUCCGGAUAGGAACCAAAGACAGACCAAAGUAAGGAUGCCUCCGAGGUCUAAGCAGUGAGCUUUAUCCAGGUUGCUCACAGGAAUAUAGAUGGGGGGUUACUUCCAGGAGCAGGAAUGACUCAGCUACAUCAUCAAAAGGACAUCCCAGGAUGGGUGACAGGCGGCAUGAAAGCCGGAAACCUGGAGUUCACUGUACAAUCUGCAGACAGCCCAACAGGUGGGAGAGCAUCCUCUUGGAAGCUCCACAGUUCUCUGCUUCUUCCGGGCUUGGAGAGGGAGGAGCCCAGCACAUCUGUCAGUACCACGGACUCCCUGAGGCUUUUGCAUUGUUUACUUUCGCCAACAAGCGGGACAGAGUGUUUUACCUUGUUUUAGAACACUCCACAUCUUAAUAGUCUCUGCUCCCAGACUGCCCACAGCCAUCUGAAGACUAGACUCGUAGGCACAACAAUGUCAUGUUCACCGCCCUGGCACAAGAUCUAGCACCACAUUCCCUUGGUUAGUUGUCACGUCUCCUUAGUCUCCUGCAGCCUGAACUGUCCCCUCAGCAUUUCUUGCAUGGUCUAGAAAAGCUUAGAGUCCUGGCCUGUCGUUCUGAAGGCCAACCUGGGCCUGCCGAGUACACACCUCUGGUUAGUGUUAGCUGUGUGUUCUUCCGAGUCACAGAAACGACGCUGUGCUCACCCUGGGAGGCACCUGAUGCCGACCCCUCCCUUGGCUUUCGCCGUGGCACCGAGUCAAAUUGGAUUCUGUCCCUUUCCUUCGUGUAGUCACUAUCUUUCACUGUGAUUUUUAGUCUGUGGUGCUCUUUACUCUGCAGCCUUAUCGAUUAUUGGCUCUUUACUCUGCAGCCGUAUCGAUUAUUGGCUCUUUACUCUGCAGCCGUAUCGAUUAUUGGCUCUUUACUCUGCAGCCGUAUCGAUUAUUGGCUCUUUACUCUGCAGCCGUAUCGAUUAUUGGCUCUUUACUCUGCAGCCGUAUCGAUUAUUGGCAACUUCCUUUAUGGCGGCUUCUGAGGGUGGCUUCCUCUGCCCAUCGCUCCAUCUGGUUUGUUAGUUGGCACUCGCUGGGAAGAACAGCUUUCCGCUCGCGUCUCUCGAUUAGCCUGUUUCUUCGAUGCCUUAUGGAUUUUUACUUUAUGCAGUGGGCAAACCACCGCUAUCAUUGUUUUCAACUUUAACAUUUCAAAGUUUGGCUACUGGUACCCCUUUCAAGUGGGUUUUGGCUCCCUUUGGCAGGUGUUCAUUGAUUGGUGAGCACUUCCAUACUUCCAGACACAGGGCAUUCUAGACUUAUGCUCAUUAACUUGUUCAUAUCUUUAAGAGCUCAGAGCUACAUUUUAUUGGAGGGUAUGAUCUGUCACUACAGUAGGUGACAUAGAGUAAUUGUUUCUUUCACAUCCAGUCAUCUUCCCUCAUAAUCCAUCCCACACAAUUAAGCUUUGACGGCCUACGCAUAGCCACUGUUAUUGUCUUUUGAGCAGCUUGGAGGAAACAGAAAUUAUCCCAGUCUUCUUGUCCUGAAUUAGAGAUUCUCCCAUCCUUCCAGGCCAUCUACUUGUAUGACUCGCGUUUCUGGGAGGAUGUUUAAGCGCCUUGUGUCCUUCCACUUUCCCUUCCUUCCAGCUCCCUUCCUUCCAUAUUUAUCUAGAAAUUAUAAUGUACCAUCCCCCGAGCUGGCCACUGAGAAGAGCAGUGAGCAGAGGAGUAGCAGUGCGAUCCUGCCACUGUGUAGCUUGUCUUGGGGAGGGAGAAAGUAAACGUGCAGACACAUGCAAAUCAGGUGAUGGUAAAUGUUGUGUGAAGGACGUACUAGCAGAACAGAGCAGAGCAGUGUGUGAUCACACCUGUGCCUGCCUCUGACUGGUGGUGGUGGUGGUGGUGGUGUGUGUGCGCAUGUGUGUGUGUGUGCACCGCUUUCCAUAGCACACAGCCACUACUCCUCGACCUCCGUGACUUUGCUUAUAUCAUCCCUUCUAUUGGAUGCCUGAUUAUUCUCCAUCGACAUUUGAGCUUGAACCUGAAGUCAGAUUUCCCACUCAUUGUGAAGUCUUCUUUGACUGAUUCAGAUCUUUUCCUUCUCUGAGCAAGUAAAAGUUGAUAGAAAACAGGGGUCUGUGCAUUACAGUUUGAUUAUAGUGAAGUGACAGGGUAAAGCUUGGCAGUACAAGUCCUGAAAGGCAGGGCUUCCUCUUUGUGUUCCUUUCCUUUGAUCUUCUCUCUCCCUCUGGGCUUAAUAGUGGGAGCUUGAUCAGUCUGACAACACACACCAACAAACACCAAAACACACCACACACACACACACACACACACACAUCAACACUCACACAUACACACCUAAAACACCCCCAACACACACACACUAACACACACACACUCACACACCAACACCCCCCAAACACCUCCAACACACACACCAACAAACACACACACACACACACCAACACACACACACACUCACACACACCAACACCCCCUCAAACAUCCCCCAACACACACUCACACUCCAACACACACACCAACAAACACACAUACACACAUACCAACACACACACACUCACACACACCAACACCCUCCAAACAUCCCCAACACACACUCACACUCCAACACACACACCAACAAACACACACAACAUACACUCACACACCAACACUCACACACACACCUAAAACACCCCCAACACACUCACACUAACCCACACACACACUCACACACCAACACCCCCAAACACCUCCAACACACACACCAACAAACACACACACACUAACACACACACACUCACACACCAACACCCCCCAAACACCUCCAACACACACACCAACAAACACACACACACACACCAACACACACACACACUCACACACACCAACACCCCCUCAAACAUCCCCCAACACACACUCACACUCCAACACACACACCAACAAACACACAUACACACAUACCAACACACACACACUCACACACACCAACACCCUCCAAACAUCCCCAACACACACUCACACUCCAACACACACACCAACAAACACACACAACAUACACUCACACACCAACACUCACACACACACCUAAAACACCCCCAACACACUCACACUAACCCACACACACACUCACACACCAACACCCCCAAACACCUCCAACACACACACCAACAAACACACACACACCAACACACACACACACACUCACACACACAACACUCCCCCAAAUAUCCCCAACACACACUCAUAAUCCAACACACACACCAACAAACACACACACAACAAACACACACCAACACACACACACUCUUAAAACACCCUAACACACACUCACACACCAACACACACACACACCUAAAACACCCCAACACACACUCACACACCAACACACACAUCCCUAAAACACCCCAACACACAUUCACACACCAACACACACACACACACCUAAAACACCCCAACACACAUUCACACACCAACACACACACACCUAAAACACCCCAACACACACUCACACACCAACACACACACAUCCCUAAAACACCCCAACACACAUACACACACACACACACCUAAAACACCCCAACACACAUUCACACACCAACACACACACACACACACACACACACACACACACACACACACACACACACACACACACCAGUGAGGGUAGUCUUCAGACAGAGGAGGAACUGGUGGGAAGGCAACUGCAGAGUCCUUUUCAGAACUCUCAGCUGUGACCACACCCAACUCCACCUUCUGCAAUGUUGAGGAUUCUAUGCCUCAGGGCUUCUUUGGUAAUUUCAGCGAAGGGAGAUGAACGACUGCUUGUUACACAUCAUAUUUCAAUGUCAAAUGCUCUUGACAAUCAUGUCUGAUUGUAUAUCUUGGUGACUUCUUUAAACAGGUCUUGGAGGAAAAAAAAACACCAUUUUUUAGAAGCUGUUAGCAAACCUCCCAAACUAUAUAAUCAAUCAGGCCUAUAACCAAUCAGCGACGAAGCUUCCUUCUUGCUAUAUUCUCCAUCCUCAUGCAUCCCCAAAUAAACAUAAUACCUGCUAACCUUAAAUAAGAGGCUCUCUGCUCUCCAGGGCAGCCUUUCAACAGGGCAGUGAUGAGUUGCGCCUAGAGAGCGGUAGGUGGCGCUGUGAGCUCGGCGCAUGGACUUCCCAGCGUCUUUUAAGAUUUCCAGGGGAAAGACAUGGCGUCUGGCAUCUUUUCAGUUAAAUUUCAUCAUAUCUGCUCAGCUUCUGAAAAGCAAGUCUGAGAAACAGAUUAGCCGAUUUCUGACCCUAAACGGAAGGUCAGCCGUUCUGUGCUCAAACGUAGCAUUUCACCGCAGGCUGGAUCUUGUCCUGGACUGGGCUUUGGAAUUCUGCCCAUAAGCUAUGAAAAUGACCCCAAGGUGUUUCUUAGAGCAUUUCUUUGCCUGGGAGGCCUUUCUUAGUUUUGUACCUGGAAGCAGAAACCACAUUAGCAUCCCGUUUUGGGCCUGUGUAUAUGGUGGUGUGGGUAGGGGUGGGGGGUGAGGGAUUGUUUUGUCCGCUUCAAGGCUGCUUGCUAUUUUCGACCACUUUCUGAAUCCAGUUUGCUGUUAAAAGUGGAUCCCUGCUUGAAUGUGACCUUUAUUACCCCCGCCUGGCCCCCAACCCAAGUCUCUGGGACUUGUUCUUUGUUGCCAAGCUCUGUGGCUGUAGUGCUGAUCCACUUAAUAACAGAAAAUUGGGCGCUAACUGUAUCAUUUGUCAGCCGCGCUGUGGGAUUUCGGAUUCCUUAAUUAAACCUGCGUGUUUCAGAUUUCAUAAAGUGAAUCUGUGUUUUAUGUUCAUAGGAUGUGAACGUGUAGAAUGGAGAGAAUGGGACCUUAAUGACCUCCUAGACCGAUACAAUUCAAAUUCCCUAACCACAUUUACUAAAGGCCUGGCUGACUUUCGAUGUCUCGUAGAUUUCCUAGUGGUGAAGGGAAUGAGGCGACACUUCCCAUCACAUUUCUAUAAUGAAGUUAUUAGGGUUGAAUUUAAUUUUGUUUUCCCCCAUAUUCAGUUUUCAGAUGUACACUUAUGUUUGUUUCCUUACUGAUGACCAGUAGAUGGCUCUGUGGCAUUUCUAGAGUUGACACAUGUUCGUUUGGUGCCUCUUAAUAUAUGAGAGUAAUUUACUUUCCCUCUGGCCUGUGGGGAAAUCUUGAGCUGUUCCAUUCAGUCCCACGGAUGAGGAGAACGGCUGAUGAAGGUUCUUUUUCUCCCUGAGUUGUUAGGAAAUUUUGUGUGUGUGUGUGUGUGUGUGUGUGUGUGUGUGUGUGUGUGUGUGUGUGUGUGUGUGUAUGCCAUACUGGAGUAGCCAGACACAAGACCUUUGGGAUGGGCAGUGUGCAAUAUGGUGGCCACUGCUGGCUAUAGCUCCUUCCCAGAUGCCAGAAGGAAACGGGUCUAAACAUGGCUCCCAAACACCAGCUGUUGGGUCUCCUGCUCCCGUGGGAAGGGAUGUGUACUUUCACAGCUGACUCAGUUUCCAUUUCUGUUUGUCUUCAAGGAGCUGGGGAUCAUUGCCCAAAGACAGGUAAAGCAGGUGGGCACAGUCCUGGAUGCUAUCUCCCGUCUCUCAGUCUACAUGGUACCUCCAAGUACACAUGGAGCUGAAGGGUUUUAGAACCUCUUAGGUGUCUUCUAGUCAGUGAAAUUUAAAUAGGACCCUAGGAUGUUAUGAACUGAAUUGUCUCCUCCUUGCUGAAGUUGGACUCUUAGCACCCAAUGGGACUGUAUUUGGAGAGGAAGCCUUUGACGAGAAAUGAAGGUUGAAAGAAGUUGUAACAGUGGGGUCCAAUAUGCCCGAUGCCAUUGGAAGAGGGAGAAACACUAGGGGUAUAUACACACAGAGAAGGGACCAGUGAAGAUAGAGAAAGGACAGCCAUCUGCAAGCCAAAGAGAGAGGCCUGAGCAGGAACUGAAUCUGCUAUCACCUUGAUCUUGAACUCCUGGCUUCCAGACCCCUGUGCAAUACAUUUCUAUUGUCGAGUCUUUAGUAGUUUGCUAUGGCAGGUGUAACAGGCUGAUAUAUACGCUGAGCAUUAAAAGUAUAAGUUCUCCAUUUUCUCUUCUGCCUGUUGACCUUCACCGGUAUGUUUCCGAGGAUGUUGCUAAAAGAUGGAGAGGCUGAUCCCAAAUAAUUUAUCUUAAGCCAAGCCACUGGAUGGUUUUGAUUCAAUUUUGCUGCAGUAUGUAUGGUCUGACAUUAAUCAGGCAGACCAAUCCAACCUGAACUUUGCCUCUUGAAGGCAAAAGCCGAGCCUCUGACCAUUUGGUUUUGCAUUCAUGUGGGAUGAAUCCUCUUGUAGGGGAUGGACGCCUCACGUCUAGAUAAGGCAAUGGAGUUGGUUUAUAAGGUAACUGGGACUGUGGAGCUGAAUAAGGUUGGUUAAUUGAUCCCAAUAUUAUUCUGCUGUAACUACAUAAGGCUCCAUGGAUAGCAGAGGUCUCCGCUUGGUUUCAGGCUGAGCCCUCUCGGAUUUCAGAGAGCAGCUGAGAUGGGUCAGGUGGGGGUGGGAAGGAAGGAGAACCUCUGGCACGUUCUCUCUUUAGUGAGAGUACCUGUGUUUUUACAUGUGUAGGGUUUUGUGUGUGCUUUAAUCAGAUGAACUGUGUUGCUAAAAAAUUUAAACUCACAUUUAUAAUUUCACACUUAACUAAAUACAAGAUUAAAAAAAUAAUUAUGUGUGUGUGUGUGUGUGUGUGUGUGUGUGUGUGUGUGUGUGUGAAUUUUUUCACGAAUGUAUAUAUAAAGUUCUUGGAGCUUGAAGUUUAGUCUGAUUCAGCCAAAUUUUUUUAAUUGAUGGAUUCAUGGUUAUAAGCCUUGCUUCAAAUCAGUUUCUUUACUUUCUAGCUGAUCUGCAAAACAUCUGUGGGGGCUAGAGAGAUGGCUUAGUAGACAAAGCAAAACACAACGAAACAUGUUAUUCUCACUAAGGGCUCAGGCUUGAAUCCCAGCGCACACAUGUUAGUUCACAGUCACCUGUAACUCCAGCUCCAGCACCCCUGUGACCUCCAUGUGCAGCAGACACACAUGCGGCACAUACUUACAUGCAGACAAAACACUCAGACGCUUAAAAUAAAAAAAAAUAAAAAUAAAGGAAACAUGAAGUUCAUGGAAAUAGAUUUGCACAAAGUUCAAGGGUUGUAGGUGUUCAAAUGUUAAUUUAUAUUUAAAGAAAAUUAUAGAAAACAUUGAUGGCAUACAAUUUUGUAACAGUAAAUCAGAAACCAUGUUGAAGCUGCACAUACGUGUUUUCAGUGCCUGUCAGGAGUGUCUUAACUCCUGUCCUAUGCAGAAAUUGGUAAUUAAUUAUAUAACUAAUUUCCAUAGAGCUUAGAUAUCUUCAUUUAACUUUUGGAGUUAGUGCAUACAGGGAGAUCACUUUAUCAUCUUUAUGUAUAAUCACUACCCAUUUGGGAUUCAAUUACCUAAAACUCUGAGCAUCCUUUAGACUUCUAGUGAGUUUGGUGACUGAGUUCCUGGGUGCCAGUGAACCAAAUGGCAGAGCGACUGAACAGGUACUUUUUCAAGAUGGCUUCUUUAUGUCUUUGGGACAUUUUGUUUUUCCUUCUGCACAUGGCUUCUCAUUUCUCAUUUAGAUCACUUAGGGUGCUUAUCUCAAGGGAGUAGCACAUUCAAAUGGUGGCUGGUUCCUCACAGGCAGGGAGUAGAAGUUCCCAGGAAGGUUGAAAGCUAUAUCUGAAAUGCACAGAAUCUUGCCACAUCUUACUGAUCAAGAAACCACAGGGAUUGCUUGUGUCCAGGCAGACGUCUGGGCUCUAUCUCUUGGUGGUACUGUAGUAGCUCACCCUGGAGAAGAGCAGGAGGGAAGGAAGGGACUGUUGCCCCUAACUUUGCUCACACUCUCCAUACAUUCUCCCAGCCUUCGCUUCACUUAGGAGAUGGUUUUGGUUCUUUCACAGAGUCUCUUAUUUGAAUGUAAUUUCAAUGCUUGUCUUGUGUGACCCACACAGUGCUAAGGACUGGAAUGGAGGAUACCCUCGUUCCUCAGAUAGACAAUAGCACCUCCAUGUCCACUGUGAGGAAGACAAAGUAGCAAGAGGGCAGUCGACGGUUGGCAACACUUUGCCAGAGGGACUUGUUCGCUGAAACCAUACAAGAUGCCACACAGUAGUGUAAAAUUAGCAGAUAAGAAGAUUGCUGUUGUGAGAAAUUGAGGAUAUAAUGAAGAGAGAGGGUAGGAGAGUGGUGCCUGCUGUCAAGUCUGGCCCAGGGAACUUGCUUGGGAUUUGGCUACCGGUUUCCCUUUGAGAUCUCUAGAAGCUGGUGUAGUCUGAUGAUAUGAGCAGUGUGUACAGGAGGGGGAAGGAUUUGUACUUCCUCCUGUUCCUGACAGCUAACUCAGAAAAGUGUGUCUUUCAUGGUCUUGAAAAAAUUUCAUAUCCUUAAACUACUUGCUGUUUCAUUUCAUUGGGAUAAAAACAAAACAAAACAAACAAAAACAACAACAAUAAUAAAAACCACUUCAAUGUUGACUGAAGCUUGGGGACAUCCACAAAGCCAAAAUAGGUCCCCAAAGGUGAAUUUAAAAACAUUUCCAUGGGCUAACAUGAGAUGUCUUGAAGCAAUGUCCUCCACCAAACUUAGUGUUGUCUCAACAUCCCAUGAGCAUCACUCAGAGGGUGCCGGUUUGGAGAUGGAGAUCCAGUAAGUCUGUUGGGAAGGCAGAGUCCACAAUGUACAGGAUUGGAGGUCAUAGGAAUUGUAUCUUACUCUGUCUGGGGGAAAUGGGAGUUUUUCUGUGCUUCCUGCUAGCAAAUUCUAAGACUAAUAAUAAUAAAUAAAGAUGUAUGAGAAGAAAGGAAGGAAAUGAAACUUAAGUAAAAUAAGAAAAUCAAUAAAGGUUAAGACAAUGUUAAAGAUAAAACAUUGAGAUGUGAUUAAAAA